rnacentral:rRNA from 1 species
UACGUAGGGUGCAAGCGUUGUUCGGAAUCAUUGGGCGUAAAGCGCGUGUAGGCUGUUAGUUAAGUCGGGUGUGAAAUCCCUGGGCUCAACCGAGGAAGUGCAUCCGAAACUAAUUAGCUAGAGAGUGGUAGAGGAAGGUGGAAUUCCGAGUGUAGAGGUGAAAUUCGUAGAUAUUCGGAAGAACACCAGUGGCGAAGGCGGCUCACUGGCCCGUUACCGACGCUCAGGCGCGACAGCGUGGGGAGCAAACAGG